AUGGUCAGCUGGCCAGAUAUCUGCAAACCCAAGGACCAGGGCGGUCUUGGGAUUCUGUCCUCUCGGCGCAUGAACAUCGCCCUCUUGACCCGCUGGCUCUGGCGCAUUGCCAAUGGGGAUGGAGGCCUCUGGCUCACUAUCAUCCAGAACAAGUACCUGCCUGGACAGCCACUCGUGUUCUGCCAACGCUCUGGCGGUUCCCAGUUUUGGCAGGCCGUCGUCUAG
rnacentral:rRNA from 1 species